GAUGAACGCUGGCGGCGUGCCUAAUACAUGCAAGUCGAGCGAACAGAUGAGGAUCUUGCUCCUCUGACGUUAGCGGCGGACGGGUGAGUAACACGUGGAUAACCUACCUAUAAGACUGGGAUAACUUCGGGAAACCGGAGCUAAUACCGGAUAAUAUAUUGAACCGCAUGGUUCAAUAGUGAAAGACGGUUUUGCUGUCACUUAUAGAUGGAUCCGCGCCGCAUUAGCUAGUUGGUAAGGUAACGGCUUACCAAGGCAACGAUGCUUAGCCGAACUGAGAGGGUGAUAGGCCACACUGGAACUGAGACACGGUCCAGACUCCUACGGGAGGCAGCAGUAGGGAAUAUUCCGCAAUGGGCGAAAGCUUGACGGAGCAACGCCGCGUGAGUGAUGAAGGUCUUCGGAUCGUAAAACUCUGUUAUUAGGGAAGAACAAAUGUGUAAGUAAAUAUGCACGUCUUGACGGUACCUAAUCAGAAAGCAACGGCUAACUACGUG
rnacentral:rRNA from 1 species